UCUUGAGACCUGCCAAUGGAGUCUGGUAAUGAAAGACCCCCACAGUGGGGAGACCCUCACUCAAGUCUCAGGUUGACAUGACCCCCCAAGAACUCACGAGAGACU
rnacentral:pre_miRNA from 14 species